AUUAAGGUGCCUGAUUAAAAGGGUUAAUUUGAUAGAUUAAUUUAUGAAUUAUUAUAAUAUCAUUACGA
rnacentral:tRNA from 1 species